UUGGUGGCGCUACAGGAUGAAAAAAAAACUAAAAUGGCUAUAACUAAGCAACCGCUGAUCCAAUCAACUUGAAAAUUGGUAUGGCCCAAUGUGGCAUAAGUGUCUAUGAGGAAUUUCACUUAUCUUAAAAAACAUGGCCGCCAUUGGCCAAACAACUUUAAGCACCUAUUUGACAAGGUUAAUGGAAGUCGAUCGGAACGAAACUCGGUGGGCAUGUUCGACUCAUUGCCCUAAAGGUCUGUAAGUACUUUGAAAGAAAUUGCCCACAACAUUGUCACCUCCCACAGAACACAACAAAGCGAUUUGAUUACAGCGCCACCUAUUUUCCAAAAAUGAUAAUGCAUCAUUUUACUGGAGUUUUACUGGCUGUUUCAAUUACACUCUUCCAAUAAUUGCUUUUCUUACUCGUUGCAUUUGGUCUGAUGCUCCAUGCCAUGCUUAGCUCCUCGCUGUGGAACUUUUAUUAACGAUUUUCAGCCAUUUCAAUUACAAUCAUGCAAUUAUUAAUUUCAUUAUUCAUUGUUGCAUUUGGUCUGAUGCUACAUAUGCUUAGCUCCUGAUGUUGCCGCUGGAAUGCUUGGCCCCGUGAUUGCUGCUUGCAGCUAUAUUUAUUAUUCUUCUUCUUCCGCCGCAAGUCUAUGGCAGCCCAUAGAACCGAUUGCGGGAAAGUUGUAUAAUUUGGCACACUGAUAGAGGACAGUCCCAACAUUAACUAUAGCAAAUUUGAAGUCUCUAUCUCCUACUCUCUAGCGCCACCACUUGUCCAAACUUUCAAUGUUUGUAUGCUAAUAACUUUUGAACCGUAAGCCAGAAAAUGGAAAUUCUUUUUUCCUCUGAAUCCUUGGCUCAUGCCAAGUCGAAUGAACCCCAAAAUUCAAAAAUCGCAAGGUUUAGUUUUUUCGCUAUUUUCAAUUAUUCGAAAAACCUACUUUUUCGAACUCGUCCUAGACGGUUAGUCCGAUUGCCACGAAAAUUGGCUCAGAUCAUCUUCAGACCAUGCUGGCAAAAAGUUAUGGAAUUCAAGUUGAUUCGUCCAACUGUUGUCGAAUGACACGUAAACAAAUUUGACGAAAAGCACGCAAACAUGCACGUGAGGCUAUAUCCCGGCAACGGUUUGUCAUAUUGAGACCAAACUUGGCGUGUGUUAUAACAAGCAUGAACUGAGACUACCUGCAGUGUUUCGACACAGCGCCACCUAGUGGUCAGGAGAUAUGAAAAAUGCAUAUUUUGGCUUAUAACUACUGAAUGGUUUGGCCAAAAAUCACACAACUGGUCUCUUUAGAUUCAGUGAGUCAUGUCGAGUCAAAUGAUAUCCAAUUUUCCUGUGUCGGCCAUUUUAGGCGUCGGCCAUUUUGAAUUAUGAUUUAAAAUGCUGUAUUUUUUGAACGCAGCAUCGUAUCGUUUCGCAAAUAAUUACAAAAAUAUUCGGCUCCAUGCCCUGAAGGUACUCAAAAAGUUUGGUGGCAGCGCCACCUUGUGGCCAAUAGUUAUAAUGAAAUAUCACAUAAAUGCUAAUAACUUUUGAAUAAAUUAGUCUAUUUAAAUUAAAAUGGUCUCGCUAUAUUCUGUGGGUCAUGCCGAGAGUAUUGAUACCAAUAAUGUGAAAAUUGGCCUUACUUCCUGUCCGCCAUUUUGCUUAAUGUUGAAAACCUACUUUUUCGAACUCCUCCUAGACCGUUAGCCCAAUUUUCACCAAAUUUAACGUGCAUCAUCUUCAGACCAUGCUGGCAAAAAGUUAUGGAUUUUGUGUCGAUAUACGUAACGGUUCUCAUUCAGCGCAUCAACGAAUUUGCUGGAAGGGUGCCAAAAUGCAUUUGAGGCUGUAUCUCUGCAACACUUUGACAUAUUUGCACCAUACUUUGUAUGUGUCAUCGCCACCUCACACUGACCAUGCCACAUAAAUUUGGUAACAGCGCCACCUAUUGGUCAAGAGUAAUAAACCAUUCAUUAACCAUGAGUAAUUACACUUUUUAAAAUGCUAAUAACUUUUUAAUGCAUUAGCCUAUUUGAAGGAAACUGGGCUCAAAAUAUUCCCUGGCUUAUGCCGAUAACAUAGAUACCAAAUAUACCACGGUAAGCUGAACUUCCGGUCCGCCAUUUUGAUUUAUGUUGAAAACAUACUUUUUCGAACUCCUCAUCAACCAUAUGUCCGAUUUUCACCAAAUUCGAAUCAAAUGAUCUUCAGGCUAUACUGAUUCAAAGUUAUGGAUUUUGAGUCGAUAGACAAAACCGUUUUCGCAUACCACAUCGACGAAUUUGAGGCACAAUGAGAAAAUGACACUUGAGGCUGUAUCCCUGGAAUGCUUUGGCAUAUUGACACCAAACUUUGUGUGUGUCAUUGAAAAGUCACACAGAGUACACCAAAUUGAUUUUAUAACAGUGUCACCUAUUGGUCAAGCUUGAUAAACCAAGUAAUCAUGCUACUAGAGGUGGUAUUGGUGUUUUUUUUUUUUGCCAUUUCAAAUACAAUAAUUCCAAAAUUGCUGUUAUUGCUCAUUAAUGUAUUUGGUGUGAUGCUUUAUGCAAUGCUUAGCUACUACAUUUGUCGUUGGAGUGCUUGGCCCCGUAAUUGCUGCUUGCAGCUAUAUUUAGGGGCCAAGCACCGAAGGUGCGAAGGCACCUAUUGUGUUUGUUGGCGUUAUUAUUAGGGGCCAAGCACCGAAGGUGCGAAGGCACCUAUUGUGUUUGUUGGCGUUAUUAUUAUUAUUCUUCCUCUUCUUCCACCCCAAGUCUAUGGUAGCCCAUAGAACCGAUUGCGGGAAAGUUGUAUAAUUUGGCACACUAAUAGAGGACUGUCUGAACAUUAACCGUAGCAAAUUUGAAGUCUCUAACUCAAACUCUCUAGCGCCACCAAUUGUCUAAACUUUCAAAAACUUGAUGCUAAUAACUCUUGAACCGUAAGCCACAAAAUGAAAAUUCUUUUUUCCUGUGAUUCCUUGGCUCAUGCCGAGUCGAAUGGACACCAAAAUUCAAAAAUCGCAAGGCUUAGUUUUUUCGCUAUCGUCAAUUGUUCAUAAAACCUACUUUUUCGAACUCGUCCUAGGCCGUUGCACCGAUUGUCACGAAAAUUUAAUCAGAUAAUCUUCAGACCAUGCUGGCAAAAAGUUAUGGAAUUCAAGUUGAUUUCUCAAACCGUUUCCGAAUAGCUCAUGAACGAAUUCUUCGAAAAGCACGCAAACGUGAACGUGAGGCUAUAUCUCCGCAACGGUUUGGCCUAUUGAGACCAAUCUUGGUGGGUCUUAUAACAACCAUUCCCUGGGACUACCUGCAGUGUUUCGGCGCUGUGCCCCCUAGUGGUCAGGAGAUAUGAAAAAUGCAUGUUUUUGCUCAUAACUUCUGAACGGUUUUGCCAAAAAUCACAAAAGUGGUGUCUUUAGAUUCAGUGCAUCAUUCCGAGUCGAAUGAUACCGAAUUUUCCCAAUUCGGCCAUUUUGGGCGUCGGCCAUUUUGGAUUUAGUUGUAAAUUGCUGUAUCUUAAGAAUGAAGUUCCGUAUCGUUUCGCAAAUAAUUACAAAAAUGUCCGGCUCCAUGCCCUGAAUGUACACAAAAAAAUUGGGGGCAGCGCCACCUUGUGGUCAAUAGUUAUAACGAUUUUUUCGAAAAAUGCUAAUAACUUUUGCAUACAUUAGCCUAUUGUAACAAAGCUGAUGUUGAUAGAUUCCUUGGGUCAUGCCGAGAACACCGAUACCCCAUUUGUCAAUUUUGGCAAAAUUUCCUGUCCGCCAUUUUGAUUCAUGUUGAAAACCUACUUUUUCGAACUCCUCCUAGACCGUUGCUCAGAUUUUCACCAAAUUUGAUUUGGAUCAUCUUCAGACCAUGCUGGCAAAAAGUUAUGGAAUUUGUGUCGAUACACGUAACCGUUUUCAAUUAGCGUACCAACGAAUUUGCUGGAAAGAUGCCAAACUGCAUCUGAGGCUGUAUCUCUGCAAAGGUUGGAGAUAUUUACACAAAACUUAAUAUGUGACAUUGUCACAUCACAUUGACUACGCCACAUCAUUUUGGUCACAGCGCCACCUAUUGGUCAAGAGUAAUAAACCAAUCAAUAACCGCUAAUUAUUACAUUUCCAAUAAUGCUAAUAACUUUUGAUUGCAUUAGCCUAUUAUCAUGAAACAUGUCUCAAAAUGUUCCUUGGGACAUGCCGACAACAUACAUACCAAUUAUGUCAUAUUAAGCAAAACUUCCUGUCCGCCAUUUUGAUUCAUGUUGAAAACCUUUUUUUUUAAACUCAUCCUCAACCGUUUGUCUGAUUUUCACCAAAAUUGAAUC